CAGCUGGGAUAUGGACCUCCCUGAAACUCGUCCACUCCUCAUGCAAAACAGCUUAUAGUCAAGCAUGGAUAAUGGAGCUCUUGCUGGAAGAUCAGUUGGUUCCAGAAUCUGUGGUCUACUCGUUGAUGGGAUGGUCGGCUUGAUUUACACUUCUGAAAGUGAUAGUGUUGGCUGACAGUCAGAUGUGAAACCUGGGUUUUCUAACUAGAAUCUUGAAAGACCUUGGGAUGGUGCCAUCAAGACAGCCUUCAAUCAACUCUCAGAAUCUAAUGGAAAAACCAUCAUACAAUCCCAGUGUCUCCCCAUAACCCCUGACAUAGCUGUAAUGAGAACAUGAUAUCAAAACAUCACCGUAAGCACAUGUUGGAUGGUUGCCUCCUGAAACAACCUCUCUAUUCCAAGUUCAGUCGAGGCCAAAGAAAUUGCAGAGGUCAAAGGAAACAUUGUGAGGACACCAUCAAAGCAAGUCUGAAGAAAUUUGGGAUUGACACUGAAAGUUUGGGAAAGUCACACGUUAAGAAGUUUAGAAGACAUCGGAGCAGAAUUCGGCCCAUUGAGUCUGCUCUGCCAUUCGAUCAUGGCUGAUUAAUUUUUCCCUCUCAACCCCAGUGGCCUGUCUUUUCCCUGUAACCAUUGAUGCCCUUACUAAUGACGAACCUAUCAGCCACUCUAUAAAGCAGUGAGGAAACCAUUUUGGUGGUAUUGUUGUUAUGAGGAAUCCUUUUCACCUUGAGCCACUUUGCCUCUCAAACAGAAAGUAAAUAAGGAAAGAGGAAACAAAGGGAAAAGGAACGAGAACCAAUAUGGCCAUGUUUUCCCUUCACCAAUAUGUGCUUAUGAUGUUAUUGCCUGAAGGAGUGGGGUCAGAAGCUACCACAAGACUAAAAUCUCCCCAGACUCGAGGUACGGCCAACAUGAGAGAACAUACAUUUUCUGCAAAUUUGGCCAAGAAGAAUACUCACAUUGUGCAUGUACAUUACUCACUGUAAGUUAACAACAAUGAAUUCAAUAUAAAGUGUAGUACAUUUAUAUGUACUUGGGGACCACAAAUAAACUGUGAAUUUAUAUCAGCGGUUCAGUGACUGAAUAUCAAGUCAAUGAGAUUAUGAAAAGGAUUAUAAAUGGUUUGGGACAGGGUAACAUCCUGUUUCAGUACUUUCACAUUUCUGAACUUGCCACCUGGACCAUAACCUUGUGCUUGAAAGCUGUCAUUUUGCAGGAAAUGUCUUGAAAAUAGUGAAGAACCAGAUUUAAAAGUGAAUUAAACAAAAAUGCUUCAACCAACAUCACCUCCAGGUAAAGGGAGAUUACAGAGAGAAAGUUAUUUAUUGGUUCAUAUAACUAUGAUAUAUUUAUGUAUAAUGUUAUACCAUUGCAUAAUUUGAUAUGUAAAUUAGCAGGAUAUAUACAUACAUUUUAUAUAUUACACCAGUACAUUCUAUUGUUGC